UUUGUCUGGUUAAUUCCGUUAACGAACGAGACCCCCGCCAGCUAAAUAGUGUGGCUUACGCUUUUGCGUAGGUGCUCGCUUCUUAGAGGGACUUCUGGUGACUAACCAGAGGAAGUUGGGGGCAAUAACAGGUCUGUGAUGCCCUUAGAUGUCCUGGGCCGCACGCGCGCUACACUGAUGCAUGCAACGAGUUUUUUUUCCUGGGUCGAGAGGCCCGGGUAAUCUGUUGAACGUGCAUCGUGAUAGGGAUAGAUCAUUGCAAUUAUUGAUCUUGAACGAGGAAUUCCUAGUAAACGCGAGUCAUCAGCUCGCAUUGAUUACGUCCCUGCCCUUUGUACACACCGCCCGUCGCACCUACCGAUUGAAUCAUUCGGUGAGGAUUCCGGAUUCCGUAGCUUACGCUUCACGGCGUUUUUUACGAAAGAAGUUAUCCAAACCUCAUGAUUUAG
rnacentral:rRNA from 1 species